rnacentral:rRNA from 1 species
ACCCUAGUGGCGGACGGGUGAGUAACGCGUGGGUAACCUGCCCCAUACCGGGGGAUAACACUUAGAAAUAGGUGCUAAUACCGCAUAAGCGCACGGUACUGCAUGGUACAGUGUGAAAAACUCCGGUGGUAUGGGAUGGACCCGCGUCUGAUUAGCUUGUUGGCGGGGUAACGGCCCACCAAGGCGACGAUCAGUAGCCGGCCUGAGAGGGUGGACGGCCACAUUGGGACUGAGACACGGCCCAAACUCCUACGGAAGGCAGCAG